AUGCUCCGCCGGGAAUCCGCCGACAAGAUCCCAUCGAAAAAGGAUUUUUAUAUGAAGAGUGUCCAGCGUACUGUUAUCUGGAUGGGAAAGAAGCAAGAAUCGGUUGAGGAUGUUCCCUGUGGUAACACUAUUGCUUUGGUUGGUUUGGAUCAGUUCAUCACCAAGAAUGCAACCCUGACAAAUGAGAAGGAAGUUGAUGCCUACCCAAUCAGGGCAAUGAAGUUCUCUGUGUCCCCUGUUGUGCGUGUUGUUGUUCAAUGCAAGGUUGCUUCUCAUCUUCCUAAGCUUGUUGAGGGUUUGAAGCGGCUGGCGAAGUCUGACCCUAUGGUUCUCUGUAGCAUUGAAGAGUCUGGUGAGCUGGAGAGCUUCACCUUGAAAUCUGUUUAA
rnacentral:rRNA from 1 species